UACAGAGGUCCCAAGCGUUGUUCGGAUUCACUGGGCGUAAAGGGUGCGUAGGUGGCCGGGUAAGUCUGACGUGAAAUCUCCGAGCCUAACUCGGAAACUGCAUCGGAUACUAUCCGGCUUGAGGGUUGGAGGGGGGACUGGAAUACUUGGUGUAGCAGUGAAAUGCGUAGAUAUCAAGUGGAACACCAGUGGCGAAGGCGAGUCCCUGGACAACUCCUGACACUGAGGCGCGAAAGCUAGGGGAGCAAACGGG
rnacentral:rRNA from 1 species